CCAAUAGCGUAUAUUAAAGUUGUUGCAGUUAAAAAGCUCGUAGUUGAAUUUCGGGAUCAAUACGUCGGUCGUGCCUCUGGUAUGUACUGGCGUUGUUGGUUUCUCCUUUCUGAGGAGCCAUGAUGCCAUUAAUUUGGUGUCGUGGGGAAUCAGGACUGUUACUUUGAAAAAAUUAGAGUGUUUAAAGCAGGCACACGCUUGAAUACAUUAGCAUGGAAUAAUGAAAUAGGACGUUCGAUUCUAUUUUGUUGGUUUCUAGGAUCAACGUAAUGAUUAAUAGGGAUAGUUGGGGGCAUUAGUAUUCAAUUGUCAGAGGUGAAAUUCUUGGAUUUAUUGAAGACUAACUACUGCGAAAGCAUUUGCCAAGGAUGUUUUCAUUAAUCAAGAACGAAAGUUAGGGGAUCGAAGACGAUCAGAUACCGUCGUAGUCUUAACCAUAAACUAUGCCGACUAGGGAUCGGAUGAUGUUAAUUUUUUAAUGACUCAUUCGGCGCCUUACG
rnacentral:rRNA from 1 species